CACUAUCAUUAACUGAAUCCAUAGGUUAAUGAGGCGAACCGGGGGAACUGAAACAUCUAAGUACCCCGAGGAAAAGAAAUCAACCGAGAUUCCCCCAGUAGCGGCGAGCGAACGGGGAGGAGCCCAGAGCCUGAAUCAGUGUGUGUGUUAGUGGAAGCGUCUGGAAAGGCGCGCGAUACAGGGUGACAGCCCCGUACACAAAAAUGCACAUACUGUGAGCUCGAUGAGUAGGGCGGGACACGUGGUAUCCUGUCUGAAUAUGGGGGGACCAUCCUCCAAGGCUAAAUACUCCUGACUGACCGAUAGUGAACCAGUACCGUGAGGGAAAGGCGAAAAGAACCCCGGCGAGGGGAGUGAAAAAGAACCUGAAACCGUGUACGUACAAGCAGUGGGAGCCUCUUAAUGGGGUGACUGCGUACCUUUUGUAUAAUGGGUCAGCGACUUAUAUUCUGUAGCAAGGUUAACCGAAUAGGGGAGCCGAAGGGAAACCGAGUCUUAACUGGGCGUUAAGUUGCAGGGUAUAGACCCGAAACCCGGUGAUCUAGCCAUGGGCAGGUUGAAGGUUGGGUAACACUAACUGGAGGACCGAACCGACUAAUGUUGAAAAAUUAGCGGAUGACUUGUGGCUGGGGGUGAAAGGCCAAUCAAACCGGGAGAUAGCUGGUUCUCCCCGAAAGCUAUUUAGGUAGCGCCUCGUGAAUUCAUCUCCGGGGGUAGAGCACUGUUUCGGCAAGGGGGUCAUCCCGACUUACCAACCCGAUGCAAACUGCGAAUACCGGAGAAUGUUAUCACGGGAGACACACGGCGGGUGCUAACGUCCGUCGUGAAGAGGGAAACAACCCAGACCGCCAGCUAAGGUCCCAAAGUCAUGGUUAAGUGGGAAACGAUGUGGGAAGGCCCAGACAGCCAGGAUGUUGGCUUAGAAGCAGCCAUCAUUUAAAGAAAGCGUAAUAGCUCACUGGUCGAGUCGGCCUGCGCGGAAGAUGUAACGGGGCUAAACCAUGCACCGAAGCUGCGGCAGCGACACUAUGUGUUGUUGGGUAGGGGAGCG
rnacentral:rRNA from 2 species